CUUUUUAUCCUACAAGAUAACGCUGCCAUUUCUGAACGAUUGAGAGAGUAAUAAAUCAUUGGAGUUUUUGGUUGCUUGAAAGGAACAAAGAAAUCACUAGAAGAUAUCUCUCUAGUUGGAUCUGUUCUCUCUCUUCACAUCCUUACCCUUUUUUUUUCUCUCUACAGAUUGACACAUUUUUUACACAACUACCAAAUUUUUUUUACAGAUUGAUACUUUUUUUUACACAGCUACAGCUUGAAAUCACUGGAACGGUUUUUUUCACAUAACGGCCAAAUUUUUUUAUUUCAUUUUUUUUCUCUACUUGAGCCAUGAAAGGGCCUAGUGAGAAGAAAAACUUGGUUACGGGAACCAAAGGUUCACGAACUAUAGCAAGUCGUGCUUGAAACACACCAAAGCAUACUCCACAUCCUUGCUGACUGUUAGGCUACAACAAAGUAUUUUUUUUCUUGUUUCCUUGGAGAGCUGAGAUAGUUUUAAUAAAUGUUGUCCAUUGCGGAUAUAUGCUAUCAAUAAGAUAGUACCCCAUUGCAUAGUUAUAACUAUUAAUUGUGUAAUUGACAGCCAGAGUAUGUCCUCGAGCAAGGUUAGAAAAUAUAAAUGAUCUAUCAAUCAUAUUUAUAUUA